rnacentral:rRNA from 1 species
GGGGGGGGGGGGGGGGGGGCGGGGGAGGGGGGGGGCGGGGGGGGGGGGCUCGGGGGGGGGGUGGGGGGGGGGCGAAGGGGUGGGUAGCGGGUGAGUAGCCUGGCCGGGGCGUUGGGAUAGCUUGAGGAACCGGGGUCUACUACGGGAUAGGGGCUUCUGCUGCAUGGGGGUGGUUGGGAAGGUUCGGCGGUGGGGGAUGGACGCGCGGCUUAGCAGCUUGUUGGUGGGGUAGUGGCUUACCAAGGCUUUGACGGGUAGCCGGCCUGAGAGGGUGACCGGCAACAUUGGGACUGAGAUACGGCCCAGACUCCUACGGGAGGCAGAAGUGGGGAAGAUUGCACAAUGGGUGGAAGCCUGAUGCAGCAACGCCGUGUGCGGGAUGACGGCCUUCGGGUUGUAAACCGCUUUCGCUCAUGACGAAGCUUUGUGUGACGGUAGUGGGUAAAGAAGCACCGGCUAACUACGUG